UUAAUAACGUUCUCUCAACAGAGCAGUAAGACUUGAAUAUACGGUACAUGGUAAACUCAAGAGUGGCAGAGAUCCAGCAAGUAUAAAGAGACACAAGAGAGCCUAAAGAAACCCUCAGUGUUUAUUUCAAUGCAAAUGAGAGCAUGUGUCUCUGUGUGUUUGUGCGUGGACGACUGUGUUUAGUCUUGCAGAUGUUGAUCGAAUGCUCACUGGUUGUUUACACCAUUUCCAAAAUGUGUGAUCUAAGAAAAACUGCUAGUUUAUCUUCUGUUUAAGAAAGACAGGGAAGGAGAGAGAGCUCCGGAGGACAGAUCCAGGGAAAAUAAGCAUGACUUGCUCAUACUUAACGCUUACAGCGAGAUGAUCAUUCCUGGGCUUCUCUCCACACUGGAGUCAUUUCACAGAUAUGUUCCAUGAUUACUUACAUCACAUUUGACCAAAAUUCCCUCACCAGCUUAAUGCAUAAUAAUUAUCUUCUUAAACGAAAUUCAGAGGUUGGAUGAGAAAAAUGAACACAUUUUCAAAAUGAAUCUUUUUGCAUCGAAAUCCAGAGUUAAUCACUUCAUCCUGUCUGGACACAAUGAUUUCAAUUAAAAUCAACAUCUGUUCAAGUAAAUUGAAAUACUACACUGUAAAAAUCUAUUAAUCAAAGUUGCAAAUAAAACAGAUUAUUGCAGUAUGAUUAACAAGGAAAUAAAACUAAAUACAAAAAUAAAUAGUAAAAUAAUAUAUUUUAUCAGUAAAUCAAAGUAUUGUUCGGCCACAUGCAGAGGGAAAUGUUUUGAUGUGUUUGGUGAACAGCUGAAAUAAAGUGUUUUUGAAUGUUAAUGUAUACUCCGUGAAAUGAGACGUACACAACACUCCUACACAGAGCUGUAUGAAUGUUUACAGCACACCAUAUACAGUGUGAUGUCUCAUAAAAGAACUUCGUUGUGUGUGUGUGUGUGUGUGUGUUUGUGGACCUAACCAUAUUUUAGGGAAAUUUUUUUUGCAAGUUAAAUCUCUUAAAAUCUCUUUUUAGGGAUGUCCUCAUUUGUAAAAAUGGUUUAAAAAUCUGCAAAUCUAUAAAUCCAGGUCUAUGUUCACCUGAAUUUACUUUCGGCCCCAUUUACCGCAAUAUACAAUACUAUCUGCUACAUGUUUUCAUGAGCAUAACUAGUUUUUUGCUUGAACUCUCUCAGAAAAAAGGUACGAAAGCUGUCACUUGGGUGGUACCUUUGCAAAAGGUACACUUUUGUACCUUUUAGGUACUAAUAUGUACGCUUUAGGACUGUUUAGGUAAACAACAGAACAGAUUUGGAGAAAUUUAGCAUUCCAUCACUUGCUCACCAAUGGAUCCUCUGCAGUGAAUGGGUGCCGUCAGAAUGAGAGUGCAAACAGUUGAUAACAGUGAACUAUUGUUUUUUACACUAUCAACUGUUCACUGAAAGGUUCUUGGAGGAAUCGAAAUGUUUCCUCCAUAACAUUGCGAAAACCCCUCUUUUGGAAGCUUUAUUUGUUUUGUUUAUUUGUGUUGUGCAUCCUGGAUAUUCUGGUUCUGUUGAUUUUGUCACUACAAUAACACAAUGCAUAACAACAUGUUGACAGAAUUCUCAUUUUGACGUAAUGUCAGUAAUGUCAGUUAAACCAUAGACAGCACGUAUUGAAAUAUCAAAUGUCUCAACUGAAACGGACCAAUGUGUGUGCAUUAGAAACAACACGAAAGAUCUGCCGGUCAGCCGCAUUGCAUGCAUUUCUCUGGAGUCAUACCGCAACUACAAACAUUUGUGUCCCGGUGACCCGAGGUCUGACUGACAGGCCUUAAUCUGCAUCUGUGUGUGCAUGUGUGUUUAGAAAGGUUAAAGCGUUUUUGGUGGGCGGCCAAGGUUCAGGUUGUAUCUGGACGCUUUGAAACGGGUUGGUAUGCGAUCAGCUGCGCCGAGAGCGCAGAGUAUCUGAUUUCUUCCAAGUGGAGACACACAGAACACACACUGAUCUCAUUAGCCUUUGCUUUGUUGCUGUAAUCAUGUAGCACAUUAAAAAUAGAUCAAAAUGCAUGGGUGCAUUUAUAAAAGUAACUUUGUGAGACGUUUUGUCCUUAAAAUAUAUGUGUAUAAUCAAACACACACACACACACACUAGAGAGAGGAAGGUAGCCACUAUACAGAUGUUUGCUCCACCUUUUCAUGAACAUAAUCAAAGCGGAACUGCAACAGUGUAAUAAAUCAGCUCAAAGUAUGUGACCUAUAUACUGACCUGACCUUCACCGGCACUCUUUUACUGGCUGUUCCUGUCUCGCUCUUUAUCACACACUUCCCAGCAAGCACACUUAUGGGUUUAAUGUUGUGAAAAUGAUGUAACAUUUUCACCGUAAGAUGAAACAUUUUUAUUGUCAUAUGCUCACAAUGUUGUAUCUUGGUUGUAUAAAAUGAAUGCUUUUUGGUAACCUGGUAACCCCCAAAAAUAUUUUCAUUGCUUUCACGUCAAGCUUUGUACUGUGACCUAAAAACUGCAAUCAAAAUGCAACAUUCAUUUUUAUCUCUCUAUUUAUAACACACUUCCAAGCAACCAUAGUUGUGUUAUGCUAGGUUUUUUUUUUAUAUGUAGCAAAUUUGAAUAAUGUUGUGUGUGUGUGUAUAACAUUUAUGCUAUAUUAAAUAAUAAUAUAUUAAAUAAUUAUUUUUAGGUAAUUAUAUAUUCAUAUUUAUUUACCUAUUAUAUUACAUUACAUAACAUUACAUAUAAAUUAAGAAUCUUACAGCAGUUCAAAAAUAAAUAAGAAAUUCCAUAAAAUCAUGCAUUUCAUUUUAUUAAUAUUACCAUUACCCAUAUGAUUUAUUGUAAUGUGUCAGAGUGUCUUCAGAGUUUUUGGUUUUCCAAAUGUUUCUUGAGUUUAGAUUAUUUUAUGCCAAUAAUUUGCUGCAAAAAACACAUUGUGACCAGUAUUUUUUAAAUGAAUCCAAAUUUAGUAUAAUUUUUGGCUUAUUUUCUUCUACCCUGUGUAGUUUUGCUCAUUUUCUUCAAGGAUUGACUAGCUUCUUCCAAACCACAUUGUGCCUAAACAAUGAGAUUGAUUAGAUGCACAACCUUUGACAUCAAUAACAAAGAUAUGACCUGUGACCCUUUUGUGUGCUGCGCUUAGGGACGAUGUCAUCACCAUGGGCCUCAGAGAUGGAAAAAUGACAGGGCUAUGCAGGGGGUCGAGAGUUCCUGGCUGUAAUGUGACCCUGCUGAUGCUUCAGUCAUGCCUGCUAUGAGAGGCCUCUGUUUGGGCCACAGCCCCCUCCUCCGGGGUCUGGAUGGCCUGUCCACCACUGUCGGGGGUUUUGCUGGGAGGACGUGGGAUGGCCGAACAACACAGAGCCGGAUAUACAGUGGCCAUGAACAGGCCAAAUCUAUCCCACUCUCCACCUGCUAGACAUACAUCACCAAGACCAUCUGCAGCAAUUCUGCAACCUGCUUCCUAAACUGGACACAAUAACACACUGGAGUUGUUAGUUUGUUUCCUCAGCCAAAGUGAGCUAAAUAUUA